AUUGAACGCUGGCGGCAGGCCUAACACAUGCAAGUCGAGCGGAUGAAGGGAGCUUGCUCCUGGAUUCAGCGGCGGACGGGUGAGUAAUGCCUAGGAAUCUGCCUGGUAGUGGGGGAUAACGUCCGGAAACGGGCGCUAAUACCGCAUACGUCCUGAGGGAGAAAGUGGGGGAUCUUCGGACCUCACGCUAUCAGAUGAGCCUAGGUCGGAUUAGCUAGUUGGCGGGGUAAAGGCCUACCAAGGCGACGAUCCGUAACUGGUCUGAGAGGAUGAUCAGUCACACUGGAACUGAGACACGGUCCAGACUCCUACGGGAGGCAGCAGUGGGGAAUAUUGGACAAUGGGCGAAAGCCUGAUCCAGCCAUGCCGCGUGUGUGAAGAAGGUCUUCGGAUUGUAAAGCGCUUUAAGUUGGGAGGAAGGGCAGUAAGUUAAUACCUUGCUGUUUUGACGUUACCAACAGAAUAAGCACCGGCUAACUUCGUG
rnacentral:rRNA from 1 species